CACCAUCAAAAUACAGGACCAGAUACUGUAACAGCUUGGGUUUCAGGGGACCACAGCUCUUUAACAUCCUCCCUAAAUGCCUGAGAGACCUGCAUGGUGUGGAGCUGGGUUUCUUUAAAACUAAACUGGAUCUCUUCUUGUCGGGGGUCCCAGAUGAACCUACCUCACGACAGGAGACACAGAUGCGGGCAUUGGCAUCGAAUUCUCUUGUUGAUCAAGUGCCACGUAUCAGAGGUGGUUUCACAUAUUAGUGUAGCUCAUUCAGCAGUGGUGCCCCAGCAUGGCCUCAGCUUUCGGGCUGAAACAUCUUUAAGGAUUUAUAUAAUGUAUAUUAUAUAUAUGAUGUAUCAUCAUCAUCAUGAUCAUUUAGCGUCCGCUUUCCAUGCUAGCAUGGGUUGGACGGUUCAACUGGGGUCAGGGAAGCCAGAAGGUUACACCAGGCCCAGUCUGAUCUGGCAGAGUUUCUACAGUUGGAUGCCCUUCCUAACGCCAACCACUCCAUGAGUAUAGUGGGUGCUUUUUACAUGCCACCGACACAGGUGCCAGACGGGGCUGGAAAACGGCCACGGUCAGAUGGUGCUUUUUACAUGCCACUGGCAUGAAGGCCCAUUGGGGCGGUGCUGGCAACGGCCACGUUCGGAUUGUUCGCUUAUGUGCCACCGGCACUGGUAUUACAGCUACAAUUUCCAUUGAUGUUGAUCGAUCUUGAUUUUGAUUCUCACUUGCCUCAACAGGUCUUCACAGGUAGAGUUUUGUGUCACAAGAAGGAAAGGUAUGCAUAAGUGGGCUGGCUACGUCCCAGGUAGAGGCCACGGGUUAUGGUCUCACUUGUUCUGCCGGGUCUUCCCACGCACAGCAUACUUCCAGAUUACAUACAUUUAUAUACAUUCCAGAUUAUAUACAUUUAUGUGUAUUUACAGAUUAUGUACAUGUGUAUUUAGAUAAAUAUUAUUUAAUGUCCAGUUUUCAUGCUGGUAUCGGCUGGACAGCUUGACCCAUAAGACAUGUGUGGGGUUAUGCAUAUAUAUACAUAGGUAAUGUGAAUACAUAAUUUUACCUAUUACUUGUUCUGGUCAUUAGACUGCAGCCAUGCUGGAGCACUUGCCUUGGACAAUGAAUCGACCUCAGUACUUAUUUAAUAAUCAUAAUUAUUGCCGAUGCCAGCGCCGCCUUGACUGACUUCCGUGCCGGUGGCACAUAAAAAGCACCAAUCCGAUCAUGGCCGUUGCCAGCCUCGCUUGGCACCUGUGCCGGUGGCACGUAAAAAGCACCCACUAUACUCACGGAGUGGUUGGCGUUAGGAAGGGCAUGUAGAAAGCUGUAGAAACACUGCCAGAUCAGACUGGAGCCUGGUGCAGCCUUCUGGCUUCCCAGAUCCCCGGUCGAACCGUCCAACCCAUGCUAGCAUGGAGAAUGGACGUUAAACGAAGAUGAUGAAUUGUUUCAAAUUUUGGUUCAAGGCCAACAAUUUUGAGGGGAGGGGCAAGGGAAUUGCAUCAGUCCCAUUGUUCAGCCUAUUUCCUAUUUUAUCAGCAAUGAAAAAGGAGUACCGGCAGAGUUGACCUCGGUGGAAUUUGAACUCAGAACAGAGAACCAGAAGAAAUUCCACAAGGCGUUUUUUGUCUGAUCUGCUAAUGAUUGUGCGAACUCAUCAUCAUCAUCGUUUAACGUCCGCUUUCCAUGCUAGCAUGGGUUGGACGGUUCAACUGGGGUCUGGGAAGCCCGAAGGCUGCACCAGGCCAGUCAGAUCUGGCAGUGUUUCUACAGCUGGAUGCCCUUCCUAACGCCAACCACUCCGUGAGUGUGGUGGGUGCUUUUUAUGUGCCACCGACACAGGUGCCAGACGAGGCUGGCGAACGGCCAUGCUCGGAUGGUGUUUUUUAUGUGCCACCGACACAGGUGCCAGACGAGGCUGGCAACGGCCACGCUCGGAUGGUGUUUUUUAUGUGCCACCGACACGGGCCAAACGAGGAUGGCAAACGGCCACGCUCGGAUGGUGCUUUUAACGUGCCACUGGCACGGAGGCCAGGCGAGGCUGGCACGGCCACGAUCGGAUGGUGUUUGUUACGUGCCCACAGCACGGAGGCCAGUCGAUGCGGUACUGGCUACGGCCACGUUCGGAUGGUAUUCUUAUGUGCCACCGGCACUGGUAUCACAAAAAUACAAAUUCCAUUGAUGUUCAUCGAUUUUGAUUUGGUUUGAUUUUCACUUGCCUCAACAGGUCUUCACAAGUGUCCCAAGAAGGAAGGUAUACACAGGUGGACUGACUACGUCUCAGGUAGGGGCCAUGGGUUAUAGAUUCACAUGUCCUGCCGGGUCUUCUCGCGCGCAGCAUACUUCCAAAGGUCUCGGUCUCUGGUCAUUUCCUCGGUGAGACCUAAAGCGCGAAGGUUGUUCUUCACCACCUCGUCCCAGGUUUUCCUGGGUCUACCUCUUCCACAGAUUCCCUCAACCGCUAGGGUGUGGCACUUUUUCACACAACUAUCUUCAUCCAUUCUUACUACGUGUCCAUACCAGCGUAGACGCCUCUCUUGCACACCACAUCUGAUGCUUCUUAGGUCCAACUUUUCUCUCAAGGCACUUACACUCUGUCGGGUAUGAACACUGACAUUACACAUCCAACGGAGCAUACUGGCUUCAUUUCUUGCGAGCUUACGCAUAUCCUCAGCAGUCAUGGCCCAUGUUUCACAGCCAUGUAGCAUGGCUGUUCGCACACAUGCGUCAUACAGUCUGCCUUUUACUCUGAGUGAAAGGCCUUUUGUCACCAGCAGAGGUAAGAGCUCUCUGAACUUUGCCCAGGCUAUUCUUACUCUAGCAGUUACACUUUUGGCACACCCACCCCUGCUACUGACUUGGUCACCUAGGUAACGGAAACUAUCAUCUAUUUCAAGUUUUUCUCCCUGGAAUGUGGCGGAAGAUGGUCUCUGCACAUCUUCAGUCUUUAUUGAACCAGAUCAUCUGCCACAUACAGAAACUAUCUUCCUAGUUAGCCUUCCUUUGACAUUGCUGCACCUCUUAUGUGUCCAUAGCUUACACUUGGUGCAUCUUAUAGAGUUCCUACCUACGCCUUUUCUACAGAUCGAGCAGGGCCAUCUACCUGAAGGUGUUUGAGAUUUGUCUACCUUCCUACUUAUUACGACUUUGGUUUUAGCUAGAUUGACUCUAAGGCCCUUCGAUUCUAAUCCUUGCUUCCACGCCUGAAACUUCACCUCAAGUUCUGAUAGUGAUUCAGCAAUUAGAGCAAGGUCGUCAGCAUAGAGGAGCUCCCAGGGGCAUCCUGUCUUGAAUUCCUCCGUUAUUGCCUGGAGGACUAUGAUAAAUAGGAGGGGGCUGAGGACUGAGCCUUGGUGGACCCCAACCUCCACCCGGAAUUCUUCACUGUACUCAUUGCCAACCCUCACCUUACUAACAGCGUCCCUGUACAUGGCAUGCACAGCUCUCACUAACCAUUCAUCUACCCCUAGUUUCCUCAUUGACCACCAGAUAAGGGAUUGGGGGACCCUGUCAAAGGCUUUCUCCAAGUCAACGAAAGCCAGGUACAGAGUUUUAUCUUUGGCUAGGUAUUUCUCCUGCAGCUUUCUCACCAGAAAUAUGGCAUCAGUGGUGCUUUUCCCUGGCACGAAACCAAACUGCAUCUCGUCUAGGUUGACUCUCUCUCUAAUUAAUUGGGCUAUGACCCUUUCCGUAACCUUCAUUACCUGAUCCAACAGCUUAAUACCUCUGUAAUUACUUGUAUCUAGGGCGUCACCUUUACCUUUGUAGCAGUUGACUAUUAUGCUGCUACACCAGUCAUUGGGUAUGACUCCUUCGUGUAUCACCUGGUUAACUAUACGGGUGACUAGGCUAUAACCAACACUGCCAGAUAUUUUGAGCAUCUCAGCAGUAAUUCCUGACGGGCCUGGGGCUUUCCCUGUCUUCAUGCUUCCAAUUGCCUUAACUACCGUGGAACUGUCAACUCGGAUAGCUGGUCCCUCUAUUGGGUCGACAUUCGGCAGACUCUCUUUAUCCCAUUCAUUCUCUUUGUUGAGCAACCUUUCAUAGUGGCAUCUCCAAACCUCUCUCUUUGCAUCCUCAUUUUUUCUUAUCUGCUUCCCCUCUAGCUAAAUACACCUGUCUCCUAGCUUCUCUUUUCGCAGUCUGAUACAAUUCCCUACUACCGCCUUUCCUCCAGUCCUUCCAAGCCUCUCUCUUGUCUCUAAUAGCCCUGUCUACAACAUUGUUCCACCACCACGUUACCCUGGGACGAGAUGGGACUUUGCUCCAUCCACAGAUCUGGUCAGUGGCUCUCAGCAGAUUGUCCCGUAGAAACCUCCAGUUGGCUUCCACAUUAUGUGAUGCUAUAUCCCCUUCUAUUUCGUCGAAAGCUUCGAGUAGAACUUCUCUAAAUCUCCGUCCAUUUACAGGAUCUUUAAGUUUCCAGACUCUUCUCCUCCGAGCUGGUCUUCUUCUGGGCAGCCAUUUGGCCCUGAUCCUGAAGACGCUAACUACUAAUCUAUGUUGAGGAGUACAUUCCUCGCCUGGGAAGGUUUUGGCAUUUAUAAGCAGCCCUCUUUCCCUCUUUCUGGCAAGGAUGUAGUCGAUCUGGCUAGUGUGUCUGCCAGAACGGUAAGUGACUAGGUGAGAGGUGGGUUUCCUGAAGUUGGUAUUGCAGACCAUAAGGUCAUUUGCAUCGCAGACCAUAAGGUCAUUUGCAUCGCAGAACUCCAGCAGCCUGGUUCCCUUCUCAUUGCGAGAACCAAAACCGUAGCCCCUGUGUAUGCCAUAGAAGCCCCCGACAUGCCGUCCAACAUGUCCAUUGAAGUCACCUGCCACAAAGAGAAGGUCACUGUCAUUUGUCAACGAGGUAGUCUGUAAUAGGGUGUUGUAGAAUUGGUCUUUCUGUCCUUCCGGUAGCCCUGGUUGAGGGGCAUAUGCCGAGAUGAUGGUAACUGACCUAUGGUGAAGCACUAAUCUAAUCUUAAGUACUCUGUCACUUACUCUGACUACCUCGAUUACCUUAUCUACCCAUUUCUCCGCAAGAAGUAUACCCACGCCUGUUCAUAAUAAUAAUAAUAAUAAUAAUAAUAAUGAUAAUAAUAAUAGCAGUACCAGACAGUGGCUCUCAUGGCUUCUGAUCUUAACUGAUUGGAAGUGUUAUCAUGUACAUUGUUUUGUCUUAGUAUAAAAGAUGGUCUACAGCAAAUAUUCUGCUCAAUACCACAAAUUUGCUUGUCAGUUGUUUGACCACAACCAGUUGAGCAUGUCCCUUAGUGGCUGACGAUAUGUGCAUCUCUGAUCACGAGCAGAAGUAGUGGGGGAGCAUCAUAGCCAUGUGUUGAGAGGGGUCCUUUGGGGUUUGGAUAAUUCACCUCUGGAAACAUGGCUGGUUUGUUCAACAUCCUUAAACAAUCCUUAUUCAGGGACCUUUUGAGCGGGAUGGGUUACUCGACCAGAAGAAAAUUCUAACUGGGCCCCACCUGCAAGGUCUUGCGCUGUUUAUCUUGAUAUGAGAUCACCAUGUCGCGCACAUAUGGUUGUGAUGCAUGUGCCUGGUGUACCCUUAUCAGAUGGGUAGUCAUGAUGGGUAUACUGGGCUUCGUAUAUUUUACCCCAGUGUCACUUUGAUGGCAUGCUCUGCUCGCUCACUCAAUAAUAAUAAUAAUAAUAGCAGUACCAGACAGUGGCUCUCGUAGCUUCUGAUCUUAACUGAUUGGAAGUGUUAUCAUGUACAUUGUUUUGUCUUAGUAUAAAAGAUGGUCUACAGCAAAUAUUCUGCUCAAUACCACAAAUUUGCUUGUCAGUUGUUUGACCACAACCAGUUGAGCAUGUCCCUUAGUGGCUGACGAUAUGUGCAUCUCUGAUCACGAGCAGAAGUAGUGGGGGAGCAUCAUAGCCAUGUGUUGAGAGGGGGUCUUUGGGGUUUGGAUAAUUCACCUCUGGAAACAUGGGUGGUUUGUUCAACAUCCUUAAACAAUCCUUAUUCAGGUACCUUUUGAGUGGGAUGGGUUACUCGACCAGAAGAAAAUUCUAACUGGGCCCCACCUGCAAGGUCUUGCGCUGUUUAUCUUGAUAUGAGAUCACCGUGUCGCGCACAUAUGGUUGUGAUGCAUGUGCCUGGUGUACCCUUAUCAGAUGGGUAGUCAUGAUGGGUAUACUGGGCUUCGUAUAUUUUACCCCAGUGUCACUUUGAUGGCAUGCACUGCUCUCUCACUCAGUAGUAAUAAUAAUAAUAAUUUCUUUUAUUUUCCACUAGGGUGAAAGAUGAGCAGGACAAUACGAAAACAGAUAUAAAGUGUUGGGGUUUGCAUAUAAUGAAUUGAUAAGAGAAUUAUCUCUCUCUAUAUAAACGGCAGUUUGUCUGUGCGUGUUUCUGUGUGUCUGUUUGCUUGUACCCUCACCCUGACCACGGCUUUCAACCGAUUCUGAUGAAACUUGACACACACAUAGCCCAAUGUCAUAAUUCAAAACUAACCCAGCGAAAAUUUUGAAAAGUUCCCCCAGUUCUGAAAAAAAUCGAUAAAUUCGACAUGGGGUCAAGAAUCAGAAACACGAACCACAAACUGUCUAGGGGACGCAACUCCACCUUUUUUAAAUCUCAAAAAAAAAUUUACCAUCAUUUUUUUCCAUUUUUUGGCUAUAACUCUCUAAAAAUGCUUUAUAGUUAUUUCCCUUACAAACCUGAGCAACGCCGGGCGAUACUGCUAGUAUAUAUAUAUAUACUAGCAGUAUUGCCCGGCUUUGCAAAAUGGUCACAUUUAAUUCAAAGCGUUAAAAAUGUUAUGAAAACAAUUGGUAUGUGUUCACAAAGUCCAAACAAUUAAUACGGAAAAAUCCUCCAGGCUACAUCCCGAAAAUUCAUUUCUUUGCCGAAUUUCUUCAAUGUUUAUGGCGAUUCGUUUUUAUAUCUUGAUUUUUUAUUUUUCAUGCAAUUUACGUAUGCUUGCAUGCGUGGUGAACACAGUUCACGUCAAACAGCUGACUGAGUAAAGUUCACUAUUCAAUGCAUGGGAUAAGGCCUAAACACACACAUUAUCGAUUUUUGCACUUGCGAGAUGAAUUUCGGAACAGAAAUAGCGCAGUUCAAUUUUCAUUCGCCUAAACUUUAAAUGACCCAUUUGUUGGCUAGGAGGAGAUGUGCCGGGAAGUUAACCCUUUCGUUACCAAACCGCCGAAAGCCGCCCAAAAAAAAUUUUGGUUCAUGUGACCAAGCCGCCCAAACCCGCCCGUAUUUACCUAUUCAUAUUUAAAUGAGAAUAUCAGAGCAAAUCUCUUUAGUACAUUCGUGAAAAUACGUGAUUAUACUUCGUAAACAGUUCAUCUACAGUUUUGUACAACGAUCGAAGUGUAAUUUUAAUUCCGUGAAUUUUGGGAGAUUUUUUUCCGAAAUUUGUUCCUAUUGUGUUUUCAAAAUUUGUAAUUCUGACAAAAAAUGGAAACGAAUUUCAUUAUAUCAAGCAGCGAGUCAGAAUUCGAAGGAUUUUCUACUGAAGACCUUCAUAAAUCUAACUCUAUGACUGAAAAAAAAAAAGCACAUGGUAUUUGAUAAUGAAUCUGAUGUUUCAUUUUCCGAAAGUGAAAACAGUGAAUCCGAGAGCUCCGACAGCGAUAAAGAAAAUGAAUUGGCACCUGAAUGGAGUGAAAAUUUAAAAACUGUUUCUUUCGGUGAUUUUUCUGAAGAAACUGGACCAAGCCACAGACUUUCCCAGGAGAGUAAAGCCUUAGGCUAUUUCUUUUUACUUUUUCAAAUGAGCCUAUUUGAAAUCAUUACGGCGGAAACGAACCGUUACGCUAAAUGUAAACAAAGCGAAAGAAAGGAUAGUUAGUGGUUUCCCACAACCUUAAAUGAAAUUAAGACUAUUUUGCCAUAAAUAUUAUUAUGGGUAUCAGAAAGUUACCCAGAAUAACAAAUUCUAUCGUAAAAUUUUGUUGAAUACCCAAUUGAAUAUUAGCUAAUAACCCAUUUUCUAUAGCGAUGUUUGAACAAAAUUUUAAUAAUUUUAUAUUUUGUUGAAUUUACCUGUAUCUACCUGUGACAAAAAUUAUAGUAUAGAAUUGGUUGAGAACAUUUCAUUAAAUUAUCUUCCAAAAAUCAUGUUACUAUAUUGAUAAAUAAAAAAGUUAUAGUUGUUUAAUGAAACCAGACUAAAUUUAUGAUUAUGUUAGAAAUUAAUUGUUCAAUUCAUGUAUUUUUACCUGAGGGAAACAAUUUUUUUUUCACAUGACGUAAUACCUCUCUUCAUCAAUAAAAACAGUCAUCCUGUUUGUUGUUCACACAACAUUUUGGCUGAUAUACCCUCCAGCCUUUAUCAGGUGUCUUGGGGAAGUUUCGAACCUGGGUUCUCAUUCCUAAGGUAUUUUUCGAUGUUAUUUUCCACAUGAGACCUUUUCUUUUUUUCGAAGCGUCUCCUCUAUUGGGAGUUUUGUAAAUUGUUGAAUUUUUCGUUGUUGUAAAGCUUGUUUACACGGACUUUUUUCUUUCGAAAAACGGACAAAACAUUUUGUAACCUUUCGUCCUGUUUUGUCCCUUUAUGUUUUCCAAUCAUAUUUGUCAGCCCUUGUGGCCAAUAAAAGAAUCAAUUAUUAUUAUUAUUAUUAUUAUUAUUCAGGUCCCUGCUUGGAAUUGAACUCGGAAUCUUGGGGUUAGUAGCCCUUGCUCUUAGCCACUAUGCCAUAUGCCCACAGACAUAUGGCGUAGUGGUGCAAUUCCAAGCAGUGACCUGAAUAAUAAUAAUAAUAACAACAACAACAUCAAAAAAUACCUUAGGAAUGAGAACCUAGGUUCAAAAUUUCCCAAGACACCUGAUGAAGGCUGGGGAAUAAAAAAAACUUGUUGGAAACAGCUGUAGUGAAUGAACUAAUUUCCAUCUGUUAUAUAUACUUGCCAUAACACAAACAAGGGAUGCAUACAUAGUAUACAACAUUAAAAGGAAAGCAAGCAAAAAUAGGAUGAAAUAGUGGUUGUGGUCCUCCUGUUAAAGGAUGGUCUCUAGGCAUAAUUGAGGAACUUCACCACCUGAGAUCUCCCUGAAUGCCAAGGGCAAAUGUCCGUUCCAAUUCCUGUUCUCCAACUCACAGGUCUAUACUUAGAAUAUUACCAUCCUCUCUUGCGAUUUUUGAAACUUUCACUAACCUUCCAAUAAGGAGGAAAAGUGAAUGAGGGUUCUACCAAAGAGAAAUGUCUCUGUCCUCAUGCCUUUCAACCUCGUCCACCAAACAACCCCUUUCACUACAGCCACCAUGCAAAGGAAAACUGCCUAACUUGCUCAAUUAAAGGAAGGUAGUGGGGCAAUCAUCACUGUAAUCAUCAUCAUCAUUAUUCAACAUCUGUUUUAGUGGUUGGUGUUAGGAAGGGCAUCCAGCUGUAAAAACCUUACCAAAACUGACCUCACCUGUGCUUGUGCCAUGUAAAAAGCACUAAAUCCACUCUGCUGAGUGGUCAGUGUUCGGAAGGGCAUCCAGCUGUAAAAACCUUACCAAAACUGACCUCACCUGUGCUUGUGCCAUGUAAAAAGCACUAAAUCCACCGUUCUUCACUUCCAUCCCCAUUGACCCUUCUAAGAUUUCACCAUCUUCUACUUCUCAGGUCCAAACGACACUCUAAGAAUCCACCGUUCUUCACUUCCAUCCCCAUUGACCCUUCUAAGAUUUCACCAUCUUCUACUUCUCAGCUCCAAACGACGCUCUAAGAAUCCACCGUUCUUCACUUCCAUCCUCAUUGACCCUUUUAAGAUUUCACCAUCUUCUACUUCUCAGGUCCAAACGACGCUCUAAGAAUCCACCGUUCUUCACUUCCAUCCCCAUUGACCCUUCUAAGAUUUCACCAUCUUCUACUUCUCAGGUCCAAACGACACUCUAAGAAUCCACCGUUCUUCACUUCCAUCCCCAUUGACCCUUCUAAGAUUUCACCAUCUUCUACUUCUCAGGUCCAAACGACACUCUAAGAAUCCACCGUUCUUCACUUCCAUCCCCAUUGACCCUUCUAAGAUUUCACCAUCUUCUACUUCUCAGGUCCAAACGACACUCUAAGAAUCCACCGUUCUUCACUUCCAUCCCCAUUGACCCUUCUAAGAUUUCACCAUCUUCUACUUCUCAGGUCCAAACGACACUCUAAGAAUCCACCGUUCUUCACUUCCAUCCCCAUUGACCCUUCUAAGAUUUCACCAUCUUCUACUUCUCAGGUCCAAACGACACUCUAAGGCCCCUGACGAGGGUUACUGGGACUGCAGUGUGUGUACUUACCGAAAUUCUCCCGAGGCUUACAAAUGUGAAAUGUGUGACGUACGUAAAGGUACUUCAACAAGGUGAGUAAGGUGCCACCAGUGGCACACCUUUCAUUGUUUUACUGUUUUUUUUUUUUUGUUAGUUGGAGUUUCUUUAGAUUUUUUUUUUUCUUCGUUGCUUUAUAUUUUGUCUUUUCUGUGUGUGUUUGUGUGUGUGUAGUUGUAUAUCUGUGUGUAUGCAUGUUUCUGUGAGGGAGUGUAUUGUCAGUGCGCGUGUGUGUGUGUAUGUGUGUGCGUGUAUCCUUAUAUGUGUGUUUGUGUAUGCCUCUGUGAGUGCGUAUGUUUGUAUGUGUAGUGUGUGUGUGUAUGUGUGUUUGUGUAUGCCUCUAUGAGUGCGUAUGUAUGUGUAGUGUGUGUGUGUGUGUAUGUAACUCUGUGUGUAUGUCUCUGCAUGUGUGUCUCUGUGAGUGUAUAUGUGUAUCCGUGUGGGAGUGUUUGUGGCUGUGUGUUUGCAUGCGUGAGUAUAUGUGUAUAUAUAUAUAUAUAUACAAAAAAGGUUAACAUAUAUAUAUAUAUAUAUAUAUAUAUAUACAUAUGUGCGUGUGUGUAUGUAUAUAUGUAUAUAUAUGUACAUGUGUGUGUAUAUGUAUAUACACACUUUUGGUCUCCUGUAUGUAUGUAUGUAUAUAUAUAUAUAUUUGCAUACAUAUAUAUAUAUAUAUAUAUAUAUAUAUAUACAUUCAUACAUACAUAAAUAUGUAUAUAUAUAUGUAUGUAUGUAUAUAUUUAUUUAUGUAUGUAUAUAUUUAUUUAUGUAUGUAUAUAUAUAUAUAUGUAUGUAUAUAUAUGUAUAUAUAUAUGUAUGUAUAUAUAUGUAUAUAUAUACAUACAUACAGUAGACCAAAGUGUAUAUAUAUAUAUAUAUGUGUGUGUGUAUAUAUAUACCUAUAUGCUAAAUGUAUAUACAAAAAAAAGAAAACAAUAAAUGGAACAAGUACGUAACAGGCGACAACAAAACAUCCGGACAGUUAGGUGAUACAUAAAAGGACAGGAAAAAACAAGGAUGGGUCAUUCGGAGCUUUCAAUCUUCAGUCGACUACCAAAUCGUUUUUGCAGUUUACUCGAGACUGCUAUAAUCUGGCCAGCCCCAAGAAAAUCUAAGCCAAGAGCACUACAUUGCUAUAUAUAUAUAUAUAUAUAUAUAUAUCAUCAUCGUUUAACGUCCAGUUUCUGUGCUAGCAUGGGUUGGACGGUUCGACCGGGAUCUGGGAAGCCAGGAGGCUGCACCAGGCUCUAGUCUGAUCUGGCAGUGUUUCUACAGCUGGAUGCCCUUCCUAAUGCCAACCACUCCGUGAGUGUAGUGGGUGCUUUUUACGUGCCACCUGCACAGGUGCCAGGCGGGGCUGGCACGGCCACGCUUUCAGAUUGGUGUACUUUUUAUGUGCCACCGGCACGGAAGCCAGUCGAGGCGGUGCUGGCAUCGGCCACGAGUCGGAUAGUGCUUUUUACGUACCACCAGACCAGGGAUCCUGGCUGGUUCAAUUCGAUUUCGAUUUCGCUUGCCCCAACAUGUCUUCACAAGCAAAGGGGGUUGGCAAGGGUGCCUGUCGUACCUACCUACCUCUACAUGUACAUAUACACGCAUAUAUGUGUACAGGACACCAAAAAGACGUCGAACACAUAGAGAGACGAAAAACAUAGACACAAACCAAGGAACAGGACAAGCAAAAAAGAAAAAAAGAAAAAAAGAGAUACAGGACAAUAAGCACAACGAAAAAUCCCCUUCUUCAGUCGCUAAGGUUUCAUCUACUCUACACACACAUACACACACACGUGUGUUAAUAUAUAUACUCAUGUGCAUUUUCGUCUGUCUGUAACUGUCUACUUACGUAUCUCUGUGCAUCUGUAUGUAUGUUUGUGCGCCUGUCCUUGCAUAAGUAUGUAUGCCAGUGGUUUUCAACCAGGGUUUCGCGGAACCUUAGGGUUCCGCCAGUACAGUCCAGGGGUUCCGCAAGAAGUUACAAAACUGCAAAAAUCGGCAGUAAUUUUUAAUUCUCCUAUGCAGAUAUGUGUGCAUAAGACUAUUAAUUAUUGCACAGGGGUUCCUCGAGCCAGUGGAAUGUUUCCUUGGGGUUCCGCUCCAGCAAAAAGUUUGAAAAGCACUGCUCUAUAUAUAUAUAUUUAAGUCAUCGUUAUCCAGCACACCUUUCCUUUUUUACACACACACGUGUGUUAAUAUAUAUACUCAUGUGCAUUUUCGUCUGUCUGUAACUGUCUACUUACGUAUCUCUGUGCAUCUGUAUGUAUGUUUGUGCGCCUGUCCUUGCUGAACUAUGGUCAAACUCUAUAUCAGUGGUUUUCAACCAGGGUUUCGCGGAACCUUAGGGUUCCGCCAGUACAGUCCAGGGGUUCCGCAAGAAGUUACAAAACUGCAAAAAUCGGCAGUAAUUUUUAAUUCUCCUAUGCAGAUAUGUGUGCAUAAGACUAUUAAAUUAUUGCACAGGGGUUCCUCGAGCCAGUGGAAUGUUUCCUUGGGGUUCCGCUCCAGCAAAAAGUUUGAAAAGCACUGCUCUAUAUAUAUAUAUAUUUAAGUCAUCGUUAUCCAGCAUGCCUUUCCUUUUUUAAGACAGCAGGGUGUUAUACGAGGGUGAUCUGGCUGCAAUUUCUAGCAGUUUGAAUGACCAUGUAGUUGAUUCAUGUUGCUGUAGUUCUUGUUGUUGCUUAGCCAAUUCUGCUGAACUAUGGUCAAACUCUAUAUCAGUGGUUUUCAACCAGGGUUCCGCGGAACGUUAGGGUUCCGUCUACAGUCCAGGGGUUCCGCAAGAAGUUACAAAACUGCAAAAAUCGGCAGUAAUUUAUAAUUCUCCUGUGCAGAUAUGUGUGCAUAAGACUAUUAAAUUAUUGCACAGGGGUUCCUCGAGCCAGUGGAAUGUUUCCUUGGGGUUCCGCUCCAGCAAAAAGUUUGAAAAGCACUGAUGUAUGCAGUACCACCUUAAGAUAUGGGGUACAGCAAGUUGCUUCUCAAGGGCCCCACACACAAAGGGCCUCACUUCUGAUGUGUGCCUGCUGUGCUUGCUGUCAAUAAAUAAAUAAAUAAAUACUGUAGAUCCUAGUGUAUUGAUUUGCCUGGGGGCCUCAAGCGCUACUAAAACCAGCCCCAUAUGUGUCUAACUUUGUGUGUCUGUAAAUGUUUGUAUAUUUACAUUUCUCUCUCUCUCUCUCUUUCCCUCUUUUAUCUUUCUUUCUCAUUUUCUUGUCAUUUACUUUGGGUCUAGACCUGUGGUGGUGAUAGUUAUAGCAUCCAAGGCGGCGAGCUGGCAGAAACAUUAGCACGCAGAGCGAAAUGCUUGGCAGUAUUUCGUCUGCCAUUACGUUCUGAGUUCAAAUCCCGCCAAGGUCGACUUUGCCUUUCAUCCUUUCAGGGCCGAUAAAUUAAGUACCAGUUACGCACUGGGGUCGAUGUAAUCGACUUAAUCCAUUUGUCUGUCCUUGUUUGUCCUCUCUGUGUUUAGCCCCUUGUGGGUAGUAAAGAAUUAGGUAUUUCGUCUGCAGUUGCGUUCUGAGUUCAAAUUCCGCCGAGGUCGACUUUGCCUUUCAUCCUUUCAGGGUCGAUAAAUUAAGUACCAGUUACGCACUGGGGUUGAUGUAAUCAACUUAAUCCGUUUGUCUGUCCUUGUUUGUUCCCUCUAUGUUUAGCCCCCUGUGGGCAAUAAAGAAAUAAGAAUAAAAUGGGAGGUGCUUAAGGUGGUAGGGUGAGGAACAGCUCCACAUAAGAUAGGGGGAUGUUAAGGGAAGGGACUUACUUAACAUCAGAGGGGUGGAGCUUAAGGCAGUGGGGUGGGGAACAACUUCACAUAGUAAGAUAGGGGAAUGUUAACAGAGGGGCUUACUUGACAUCAGGUGGGAGGAGCUUAAGGCAGUAGGGUGGGGAACAACUUUAUAUAAUGAGAUAGGUGGAUGUUAAGGGAGGAAUUACUUGACCUAAGAUGAAAGGAGCAUGUGGUGGAGGGGAGCUACUUUAUAUAAGAUGGGAGGAGCUUAAAGCAGUGAGGUGAGAAACUAUGUAAUAAGAUGGAGUUUAAGGGAGGGGCACUGGCUUAAGAAGGCGGGAGGAACUUAAGGUGAUGGUGAGGAAUUACUUUGGAUAAUAAGAUAGGAGGGGGUGGGAGGAACGUUUGUGUUUAGGUGCUUGUUGUUGUUGUUUUAGCUCCAGUUGUUUUAGGCGCAGGAGUGGCUGUGUGGUAAGUAGCUUGCUAACCAACCACAUGGUUCCGGGUUCAGUCCCACUGCGUGGCACCUUGGGCAAGUGUCUUCUGCUAUUGCCCCGGGCCGACCAAUGCCUUGUGAGUGGAUUUGGUAGACGGAAACUGAAAGAAGCCUGUCGUAUAUAUUAUAUAUAUAUAUAUAUAUAUAUAUAUAUAUAUAUAUAUAUAUAUAUAUAUGUGUGUGUGUGUGUAUGUGUGUUUGUUUGUCUGUGUUUGUCCCCCUAGCAUUGCUUGACAACCGAUGCUGGUGUGUUUACGUCCCCGUCACUUAGCGGUUCGGCAAAAGAGACCGAUUGAAUAAGUACUAGGCUUACAAAGAAUAAGUCUUGGGGUCGAUUUGCUCGACUAAAGGCGGUGCUCCAGCUUGGCCGCAGUCAAAUGACUGAAACAAGUAAAAGAGAAAAGAGAAUAUAGUCUCUGUUCCUUCAGAUGCCUAUGAUCAGUGGUGUUCGAGUUCUGACAAUCCUGUGUCAUAGUGUAUCUGAGACUACACUACUUGGUGUACCCUUCUCAUACUGACUCACAUAAACUAACUCUGGUCCCUGGACCAAGUGUUUUCUCCAGGGAUACAGGCAUCCAGCAACAGGACCUCUGUAAUGCUAUGAUGGAUAACUGCUUAGUUACAGGGAUGUAAAUAAACCAUCAUUGGUUGGUGUGUGGGGAGACAAAUACAAAUGCACACACACACACACACAUAUUCAAUGGGGACCUUAUCGCCAUUAUCCGCCUCUUGGUCUCUUGCAGCUUCUACUGGUUAUCUGUUCCUCCCCCCCCCACUUCCCCUGCUACGUGUGAGUAACCAUGUGCAAAUUCCUCUACAGGAACCUUCUGACCCCACCCCACUUCCCAAUAAUCCUUUUGUCCCCUAGCAUGAAGCUGAUCCCCUACCUUCCCCAAGGCUUGUAGUCCUAUGAACUACACAGUGCCCUCAAUAGGGUGGUUACCACAGAAAUAAGCACUCAGUGCCCACUGUAAAGUGGUUGCUAUUAAGAAGGGUUUCUGGUUGUAAAGGUCCUGCUAAAUCAAACCAUGGAGCUUGAUGCCCUCCUUGGACACGUCGGAUCCUGUCAAGGUUAGUUAGUUAAUUUUUUGGUUCAAAAAGCAAAAAGCAAGGUCAUGUAGGGGGACAUGGAGUUAUGUACAGGGUGGUGUUCAUGCAAAGAGUUCAGGCCAUUUCUGGUCAAGAGAGACUUUGAACCGAGCGGUCGUCGGCAUCUUCACUAUCUCGUCUGGCAGCUUAUUCCACGGAUCCGCAACCCAGACGGAGAAAGCCCCUCUCCUUCGAUUGAGAUGAAAUCGUCGCAGAUAGAGCUUUUCAGAGUGACCCCGCAGCCGACGCUCUGGAGCAGGAGUGAAGAACAGCUCUUUCGAGAGGUUACACUUUCCAAGUCCUUGCCAGUAUGGAAUAUGGAUGUUCAGUAAUAGUUUCAACUUUUUGCACAAGGCCAGUAAUUUUGGAGGAGGUGGGUGAGUCAAAUACAGUGCUCAACUGGUACUUAUUUUAUUGACCCCGAGAGGAUGAAAGGCAAAGUUGACCUUGGUGGAAUUUGAACUCGGAAUGUAAAGACAAAAUGCCGCUAAGCAUUUUGCCUGGGGUGCUAACAAUUCUGCCAGCUUGCUGCCUUAUGGAUAUUACAUAACAAUGAUGAUAUCUUCAGUGAGCUUCCUGACAGUUUCUGCCUUCCAGAUUCACUCACAAUGCAUUGGUCGACCCAGGGGCUAUGGUAGGGAACACGUACCCACGGUGCCACAUCCUGGGAUUGAACUGAAAACGGUUGUUCAUGUUUGAGAGGUCAUCCAGAAAGUCUAACGACAGUUGCUUCUGGUAGGACCUGAUGGUGGAGGUGCUUGAGGACUCUACCCCCGUAACAGGCAGGAGACCUUGGGACAGACCAAGAACGAGAUGGUUGGAUAGUGUCCAAAGUCUUAGUUCUUCAUGCAUGGAAAUCCAGCUGGAAACUUUAAUAACGGUUACUUCUGAGAAGACCCUACAAGGGUGGUUGCCUGCAGUUUCUACCCCUAUGACCUUUUCCAAAAAUAAUGGUCAGAUAAGACAACUGUUUUGCUAAAUUCCCCCAAUUGUUUGUUCCUUCUCGAGCCAUGCCUGACUCAUUAGGGCUGGUUUCUUGGCGUAUAGGUUCCCCACCUGGAUGGGACGCCAGUCCAUCGCAGGUGAGCUGCAAGACACAGGAGGAAAGAGUGAGAGAAAGUUGUGGCAAAAGAGUCAGCAGAAAUUUCACCAUUACCUUCUGCUGGAGCCGCGUGGAGCUUAGGUGUUUCGCUCAUAAGCACACACAUCGCCCGGUCUGAGAUUUGAACCCGCGAUCCCUCGACUGCUGCUCUAACCACUAGGCCAUGUGCCUCCACUAUGUGUAUGUGUGUAUGUUUCUUGUUUGUUCCUUCUUGAGCUAUGCCUGGCUCAUAAGGGCCGGUUUCCCGGUUUCUUGGCGUAUAGGUUCCCCACCUGGAUGGGACGCCAGUCCGUCGCAGGUGAGCUGCAAGAUGCAGGAGGAAAGAGUGAGAGAAAGUUGUAGCAAAAGAGUCAGCAGAAAUUUCGCCAUUACCUUCUGCCGGAGCCGCGUGGAGCUUAGGUGUUUCGCUCAUAAGCACACACAUCGUCCGGUCUGAGAUUCGAACCCGCGAUCCCUCGACUGCAUGUCCGCUGUUGUUUGUUUGUUCCAUCUCGAGCCAUGCCUGGCUCAUAAGGGCCGGUUUCCCGGUUUCCUUGGUGUAUAGGCUCCCCACCUGGACGGGACGCCGGUCCAUCACAGGUGAGCUGCAAGACACAGGAGGAAAGAGUGAGAGAAAGUUGUGGCAAAAGAGUCAGCAGAAAUUUCGCCAUUACCUUCUGCUGGAGUCGCGUGGAGCUUAGGUGCUUUGCUCAUAAGCACACACAUCGUCCGGUCUGAGAUUCGAACCCGCGAUCCCUCGACCGCGAGUCCGCUGCUCUAACCACUAGGCCAUGUGCCUCCACAAGUUCCCCCAAUUCCUUAAUUACUUUCAAAACAGUGCCUUUUUAUUGGGAAUAGGGUAACAAAAGAGUGAAGAUGAUGGAACCAUAGUUAUAAGAAAAGGAAGAAUUAGUUGCUAUUUCUGUCAGAUUAUACAACCACAUAGAGGCUGUCUUGCUGGGCCAUUGUUGUCAGUGGUGGUCAGUAGUUGUUGUCUGUGAUAGAGUUCAUUGUAGUUGUGGUUAUUGUUGUUGGUAUUGCUGUUGUUUUUGUCAGUGUGUGGGGUGUAUAAUUUGAUAUACACAUAACUAGUUUAAUGUAAACUUAACAUACAUACAUACAUAUAUAUAUAUAUAUAUAUAUAUAUAUAAUUUACAAGAUAAGUGCAAAAGAAAAAUUCUAAUGCCAAAUAUGCCGAAACAAAAAAUUGUCGAUAACCAUUAUAAUUUAUGCGUCUCGAAACAAACCGAUAGAAAUCUCUAAAAAAUUUGUUAUUACCGUAUUGGUUCAAUUUCGGGGUUAAUUAAUAAUAAAUUUUCCCCUCUUCAGCGGCAAAUACGUGAGAUAUAAGUGAAGUACUUACUCAUACCCACGGAAAAAGCAAGCACCAAGUCCUGAGCAGACCUAAGUACCCCAAAUAUAUCCAAAAUAGAAAAAUCUUCGGCAUAUCCCGAGACACGUGUGAUUCAAACUAGAAACUUUCACAGAAUGAAAGAAUCUGGAAAUGAACACUAUUCAAUUUAUAACUAAUGUAGGAUAAAAUUUUUUUCGGGAAAAAUAUAUAUCAUCCAGUGUUUGAAAUCUGGGUUUUGUCCCCAUCAAUGGGGCUGGUCGGAUUUAACGCAAUGCCAUAGCAACUGAGGCAGGCAGGUGCAGCCCACCCCAACAUUUGGGCUGGUUGGUUGCUGCCCAUUCUCCUUUGCUAUCAUGAGGCUUUUUUGGAGCUGGAUUUUCUAUGGGGGUUCGUGCCCUUGCUUACCCUCAACCUCACUUUCUAGACAUGAGUGGUCCCGAGACCAAGGCUUCUACCAUGAUUUUUAAUAAAUGUGGUGAAAAACUAGUUCAGGAAGAUAGGGACAUUACUCCCAGAGACCCCUUUUGGGGUCUCAUAUAUAUAUAUAUAUAUAUAUAUAUAUAUAUACAUAUAUAUAGAUUCAGAUGAAUAUGGUACUUAAAUUGAGGAAUCAGAAUUUAGCACUGUAUUAUCCAUACAAUUUCAAAGUACGGUGAUUAAAAUCAAAGUAAGCAACAAGGAUAUCCAGAGGUAAUGCAGUACGAUUGUUUCAUGCAACUCCAUUUAAUUGAACAAUGCAAUCAUUACAUCAAUUUAAAAUGCAGAGCAAUCUUCAGCUGCACAAAGACAUAGAAAUUAAUUAAAUUUGAACAGAUGGACUCAUUAGUAUAAUUAUACCUAAAAUCUCCAAUAUUAGGAGAUAGACAGUAGGCUUAUUUGAGUUUCUGUCAAGCAAAUCCACUCACAAGGUUUUGGUCAGCUCAGGGCUCUAGUAGAUGACACUUGUCCAAGAUGCCAUGUUGUGGAACUGAACUCAGAACCAUGUGGCCGGGAAGCAAACUUCUUACCACACAGCCACGCCUGCACUUAAUAAAGACGAAGUAAAUUCUAAAUCUUUAUAAUACUAACGGAAAUGCUGGAAAUAAUCAUAGUUUGUCUGUGCGUAUGUGUCUUUACUGUGACCGUGUGUAUCGACCUGGUUUUGUUUUUAGUGUUUCACCUGUGUGUCUGUGUGUGUGUGCUUUUGCGUCUGAGGAUAAGUCAAGUGGUGAGAAAGUGUCUGUUUGUGGGUGUCUUUAUAUCUGCAUCUGAGACUGGUGCCGCUUGUGAGUGUUGUGUGUCGGUUCUGUCAUGUGACUGUUGUAUCUGCUUACAUGUGACUCCAUAGGUCUGCUUUCCAUGUGUCCAUCAAGGACUCCCUCUAUGCGACUGUCUCUGCCAUUGAGUCAAAUACAAUCGCACGUAAGAGUUCCAUUUCUCUACUCUGGGUGCAGCAUAAAUAUUUACCCAUUCAUUUUAUCAUACAAUCAAAAAAAAUUUUUGGCUUCGUUUAACCCUUUAGCGUUCAGAUUAUCCUAUCAAACAUAAUGCCUAUUGAUUCCCAUUGAUUUGAUUUAAUCAUGCAUUAUCUCAUAGCUUCAAGAUCUUGAUGGUGUAAUUACCAAAUGUAGAAUAACAUUGUAGGGUAGGUGUGAGAGCCUGGAUCUGGUCAGUUUGAACAUAAAACAGAUUAACUAUUUUGGCUGGAUAUGGCCCGUUUAAUCCUUUUGUUACCGUAUUUCUGUUGAGAUGCUCUGUGUUUCGUUCAACUAAUUUUAAAUAUAACAAAGAAUUUAGUAAAAUAACUUAGUUAUCAUUAAGCUAGUGUUAGGAAAAUAAAUUGUGACUAAGGCUUGGUGGAAGAUUUUAAUUCAAAACUUAUGGAAUCAAGACAUUUGUACUCAGAGCCAGAGCUGGUUUCAGCUGGGUUGGUAUCGAAAGGGUUAAAAAUAUCAUGGUGACUUUAACCCUUUUGUUACCAUAUUUCUGUUGAGAUGCUCUGUGUUUCUUUCAAUUACUUUAGAUAUAACAAAGAAUUUAGUAAAAUAACUUAGUUAUCAUUAAGCUAGUGUUAGGAAAAUAAAUUGUGACUAAGGUUUGGUGGAAGAUUUUAAUUCAAAACUUAUGGAAACAAGACAUUUGUACUACAGAGCCAGAGGCGGUUUCUGCCGGGUUGGUGACGAAAGGGUUAAAUACUAAAGGGUUAUUGAAAGUUUACAGGUUUAUUGUUAUAUUUAUUAAGAAUAUUUUACAUAUAUUUACAAUUCAGUAUGGCCACCCUUUGCUUCCACCAUUGCCCUUAACCUUUUCUGAAGUGUUUCAUCCCCUCACAAUUCUUUAGCCCAGCCAUUUUCAAUGCUACAGUUUGUUCCUGAUGACAUUGUAGGGUAGGUGUUUUGAAUUAAUCAUGCAUUAUCUCAUAGCCUUGAGACUUCAGCGAUAUGAUUGUUUAUUUUUAGAAUGACAUUGUAGGGUAGGUGUGAGAUGCAGGAUCUGGCCUUGUUUUGAAUUAAACCUGCAUUUGAGAUUUUCAAUGAUAUGAUUGUUUAUUUUUAGAAUGACAUUGUAGGGUAGGUGAGAGAGGCUGGAUCUGGCCUUGUUUUCAAUUAAUCAUGCAUUAUCUCAUAGCCUUGAGACUUCAGCGAUAUGAUUGUUUAUUUUUAGAAUGACAUUGUAGGGUAGGUGUGAGAAGCAGGAUCUGGCCUUGUUUUCAAUUAAUCAUGCAUUAUCUCAUAGCUUUGAGAUUUCAAUGAUGUGAUUGUUUAUUUUAGAAUGACAUUGUAGGGUAGGUGUGAGAGGCUGGAUCUGGCCUUGUUUUCAAUUAAUCAUACAUUAUCUCAUAACUUUGAGAUUUCAAUGAUGUGAUUGUUUAUUUUUAGAAUGACAUUGUAGGGUAGGUGUGAGAGGCAGGAUCUGGCCUUGUUUUGAAUUAAUCAUGCAUUAUCUCAUAGCCUUGAGACUUCAGCGAUAUGAUUGUUUAUUUUUAGAAUAAUAUAGGGAAGGUGGGCGAGACUGGAUCUGGACAGUUUGACCGUAAAACAAGCAGAAUAUAUGAGCUGAAUAUCACUUGUUUAGAUGCCAAAGAUUAAGUUAAACAGUAAACAAUAACACAAAAGAAUCUUAGUGAGUAUUAUACAACACUUUGCUAGUAUUUUUGCAAAUAACAAUGUUUCGGUUUACAUCCGAAAACCGGGCAAAGUAUUAAAUUCAAAUAACGGGUAAAUAUAUAUGUUGCUCCUAGCUUAUCUAGCUCUUUUAUCAUCUCUUCUGCCUGACAAUUCAACAAUGUGUGUAUCUGCUAAUGAUGUCUAUAUCUGCUUCUCUGUAUAUCUCCGUCUGUACCAGCUUACGUAUCUAUUAUCUUCCUCUGUUACAUCGAUAUAAUUAUGCUUAUUACUGAGUCAACAUCCUCGUUAGUGUUGUCAAUAAGACAACAAUACUGGGCUUCAUUAAUCUUGUAUCAAAUAAUAAAAUUGCAGUAUAUAUAUAUAUAUAUAUAUAUAUGUAUAUGUAUAUAUAUAUGUAUAUGUAUAUAUAUAUAUAUAUGUAUAUAUAUAUGUAUAUAUAUAUAUAUAUAUAUAUGUAUAUAUAUAUGUAUAUGUAUAUAUAUAUGUAUAUGUAUAUGUAUAUGUAUAUAUAUAUGUAUAUGUAUAUGUAUAUGUAUAUGUAUAUGUAUAUAUAUAUGUAUAUAUAUAUGUAUAUAUAUAUGUAUAUAUAUAUGUAUAUAUAUAUAUGUAUAUAUAUAUGUAUAUAUAUAUGUAUAUAUAUAUAUAUAUAUAUAGGUGCAGGAGUGGCUGUGUGGUAAGUAGCUUGCUAACCAACCACAUGGUUCCGGGUUCAGUCCCACUGCGUGGCAUCUUGGGCAAGUGUCUUCUGCUAUAGCCCCGGGCCGACCAAUGCCUUGUGAGUGGAUUUGGUAGAUGGAAACUGAAAGAAGCCUGUCGUAUAUAUGUAUAUAUAUAUAUAUAUAUAUAUAUGUGUGUGUGUGUGUUUGUGUGUAUGCGUUUGUCCCCUAGCAUUGCUUGACAACCGAUGCUGGUGUGUUUAUGUCCCCGUAACUUAGCAGUUCAGCAAAAGAGACCGAUAGAAUGAGUACUGGGCUUACAAAGAAUAAGUCCCGGAGUCGAUUUGCUUGACUAAAGGCGGUGCUCCAGCAUGGCCGCAGUCAAAUGACUGAAACAAGUAAAAGAGUAUAUAAUAAGAGUAAAUAAUAUCUUUAAUGGUUUUUAAAAAAACCAACAAUUAUUUACUGGUAGGUUUCGGCAUGUAAAUAUAACCAUUAACGGUAGGAACCUCUAUAAAGUUCAGUAUAUAUAUCUUUAUAUAUAAAAGUGAGGUUGUGUGCUGUCUGUCUCCUACGAUUUAGAUUCCUAACUACUCCCACAUUUUGUGGUGCAGUUUAACCAAAACCGGGUUCCUUAUAGUCGUGAUUCAUAUCGAGCCCUUCUGGGUAUUAGCGCACGUCUACGAUGAGUCUAUGAUUUAAAAAAAAAUUUACCAUCAAUUUUUCACAUUUUUAAUGCAUUUUUUUG
rnacentral:lncRNA from 1 species